UACGAAGGGGGCUAGCGUUGUUCGGAAUUACUGGGCGUAAAGCGCGUGUAGGCGGUUUGUUAAGUCCGUUGUGAAAGCCCUGGGCUCAACCUGGGAAUUGCAGUGGAUACUGGCGAGCUAGAGUGCGGUAGAGGAUGGUGGAAUUCCCGGUGUAGCGGUGAAAUGCGUAGAGAUCGGGAGGAACACCCGUGGCGAAGGCGGCCAUCUGGACCAGCACUGACGCUGAGGCACGAAAGCGUGGGGAGCAAACAGG
rnacentral:rRNA from 1 species